CAGUAGCCGCGGGAAUACGGAGGGUGCAAGCGUUAAUCGGAAUUACUGGGCGUAAAGCGCACGCAGGCGGUUUGUUAAGUCAGAUGUGAAAUCCCCGAGCUUAACUUGGGAACUGCAUUUGAAACUGGCAAGCUAGAGUCUUGUAGAGGGGGGUAGAAUUCCAGGUGUAGCGGUGAAAUGCGUAGAGAUCUGGAGGAAUACCGGUGGCGAAGGCGGCCCCCUGGGCAAAGACUGACGCUCAGGUGCGAAAGCGUGGGGAGCAAACAGGAUUAGAUACCCCUGUAGUCCCUGUCUCUUAUAC
rnacentral:rRNA from 1 species